rnacentral:rRNA from 1 species
UACAGAGGUCCCAAGCGUUGUUCGGAUUCACUGGGCGUAAAGGGUGCGUAGGCGGUCGGGUAAGUCUGAUGUGAAAUCUCCAAGCCUAACUUGGAAACUGCAUUGGAUACUAUCCGGCUCGAGGAAUGGAGGGGAGACUGGAAUACUUGGUGUAGCAGUGAAACGCGUAGAUAUCAAGUGGAACACCAGUGGCGAAGGCGAGUCUCUGGACAUUUCCUGACGCUGAGGCACGAAAGCCAGGGGAGCAAACGGG